rnacentral:rRNA from 1 species
CCUACGGGAGGCAGCAGUGGGGAAUUUUGGACAAUGGGCGCAAGCCUGAUCCAGCCAUGCCGCGUGCAGGAUGAAGGCCUUCGGGUUGUAAACUGCUUUUGUACGGAACGAAAAGGUUUGGCCUAAUAAGCUGAGCUCAUGACGGUACCGUAAGAAUAAGCACCGGCUAACUACGUGCCAGCAGCCGCGGUAAUACGUAGGGUGCGAGCGUUAAUCGGAAUUACUGGGCGUAAAGCGUGCGCAGGCGGUUAUGUAAGACAGAUGUGAAAUCCCCGGGCUCAACCUGGGAACUGCAUUAGUGACUGCAUAGCUGGAGUACGGCAGAGGGGGGAUGGAAUUCCGCGUGUAGCAGUGAAAUGCGUAGAUAUGCGGAGGAACACCGAUGGCGAAGGCAAUCCCCCUGGGCCUGUACUGACGCUCAUGCACGAAAGCGUGGGGAGCAAACAGGAUUAGAUACCCUGGUAGUCCACGCCCUAAACGAUGUCAACUGGUUGUUGGGUCUUCACUGACUCAGUAACGUAGCUAACGCGUGAAGUUGACCGCCUGGGGAGUACGGCCGCAAGGUUGAAACGUCAAAGGAAUUGACGG